CCGUUGUACACACCGCCCGUCCACACCAUGGGAGCGGGUUCUGCCAGAAGUAGUUAGCCUAACCGCAAGGAGGGCGAUUACCACGGCAGGGUUCGUGACUGGGGUG
rnacentral:rRNA from 1 species